GAAUUUGAAGAGACCUGCUGCUGAGACUCAAUUUUGUCUUCCUUGGCUGCUGAGUUAUCCCAUUCCUUCUACAUCUUCCUGGGCUGCAACCUUUGCACUCACACGGUCACAAAUCUAGGGGGAAGGUAACUGGAGAUUUGCUUUCUCAGAGUGCUACCACCAUUAAGAUGGUUGAUGAAGUCUGAGACUCUGGAGUAUAUCAACGGGAGGACUUCUGAAAUGGGGAAUGUUUUGGUGUACCACAAAUGAAGCUCUCAUUCAUUGGAUUCUCUCAAAAGUGCUGCAUGAUUCACGUGUGGUGUUCAUCCUCAGCUGAGCCAGCAGGCUGAUUUGUAUUCUCUCCCUUUGGAGACCGUGGAUUUGGUAAUUCCUAGAGGUGUCCAGUGACAGGCAGAGUACUGCAGAGGGACAUUCUGCCAGGGCGGCUGGGAACUGGAGACACCCAGACUUUCCUGCCAGUCAUGGCAAAGAGUUGUUGGGCUGUGCAACAGAUGAGUGUGUCUGGGAGCUGACACACAGUUUAGCAAUAACAAAUCUCUUUCAAAGAGGCAGGCAGGUAACAAAGUGAUUUACAGCUCUGGAAGCCACGAGAAAGCAUCACAUUAUCACAUCAUAAAAUUUUAAAAAAUUAGAAAAAACAAGCUUGCUAGGGUCCUGAUUCAGCUUCCAUUGAUUUUAGUGGGAGUUCAAUUGAAUCCAGGGAGAGGCAAUCUGGACUUGUUCUUCUUCUUCUAGAAAAUGUUGCCAGGCAGCCUCAUGCAGUAUAUAUUUCUUUGGUGAUCAGAUUUUACGGUAGGUGCUCAGCAUAAGAAAAUGGAUCCUCAUUUGGGCAUGAUCUAAAGUCUACUGAAGACCGCCAUUGACUUCAGUGAGCAUUUGCCUACUGAUUCUUUCAAGUCUUUU